UACGUAGGGACCAAGCGUUGUUCGGAUUUACUGGGCGUAAAGGGCGCGUAGGCGGCAAUUCAAGUCAUCUGUGAAAUCUCCGGGCUUAACCCGGAACGGUCAGAUGAUACUGCUUUGCUAGAGUGCGGAAGGGGCAAUCGGAAUUCUCGGUGUAGCGGUGAAUGACGUAGAUAUCGAGAGGAACACCUGAGGUGAAGACGGGUUGCUGGGCCGACACUGACGCUGAGUGCGCGAAAGCCAGGGGAGCAAACGGG
rnacentral:rRNA from 1 species